GACGAACGCUGGCGGCGUGCCUAACACAUGCAAGUCGAACGGGGUAAUUUCUUCGGAGAUUACUUAGUGGCGAACGGGUGAGUAACGCGUGAGAAACCUGCCUCUCAGUGGGGGACAACAGUUGGAAACGACUGCUAAUACCGCAUAACGCAUAUUGAUCGCAUGGUCGAUAUGCCAAAGAUUUAUCGCUGAAAGAUGGCCUCGCGUCUGAUUAGCUAGUUGGUGAGGUAACGGCCCACCAAGGCGACGAUCAGUAGCCGGACUGAGAGGUUGACCGGCCACAUUGGGACUGAGAUACGGCCCAGACUCCUACGGGAGGCAGCAGUGGGGAAUAUUGGGCAAUGGGCGCAAGCCUGACCCAGCAACGCCGCGUGAAGGAAGAAGGCUUUCGGGUUGUAAACUUCUUUUAUAUGGGACGAAGAAAAUGACGGUACCAUAUGAAUAAGCCACGGCUAACUACGUG
rnacentral:rRNA from 1 species